rnacentral:rRNA from 1 species
UAAACGACUCUCGGCAACGGAUAUCUCGGCUCACGCAUCGAUGAAGAACGUAGCAAAAUGCGAUACUUGGUGUGAAUUGCAGAAUCCCGUGAACCAUCGAGUUUUUGAACGUAAGUUGCGCCCGAAGCCUUUUGGCCGAGGGCACGUCUGCCUGGGCGUCACAC